CAGCAAUAUAUGGUUGAUGUAACUGCCACAUCAGUUACUGCCACCUCGUCUACAUUCAUCUUCCCAGAGGAGUAGGUAGGGGAUGUUUUUACUAUUCGUAUUGCAAGUAAGAAAACAGAUGGACUAUUUAAGAGGAGAGGACAGUCACGUAGGACAGGAAAAAGAACUUCAGUUUGAUAUGCAAUUAAUUGGGGGCACCGUCAGCUAUUUUAAAAACGUAUGGAGGGAGGGAGGAUUUCCUGCUUGUAGUGAGGAAGCAACACUUGAAAACAGAAACAUAAACUUCAUCCUCUCAAAUCUACUGGAAAAAAAAGAGCGGCACACUGUUUGGGAGAGUACAAGACUCAAAUAUGUAGUCACUAUAUACAAAAUGAGAAAAAAUUGAUGGAUGAAUGCUUUAUGCAGCUUUUCCCCUACCACUGGUGAUAUUAACAUGGAACUAGAAGUAUGAUGCCACAGCUCAAUAUAUAGAUAUUUUUAGUAUAGCACUACACAAAACAGCAGUCCUGUUUUGUCUGGAGAGGCAAAAUGUAAAAAAGCUGUCAUGAAAUUACCUUCUGCCUCAUUAACAUUUCUGCACACUCAGUUUUAGUACUUGGAUUCCUAACUUUCCAUGGCUCCAUACGCACAAUAUAUUCCAUAGAUUACUAGAGUAACAAUUCACGUUUUGUUCUCCAAAGAUGAAAAGACAGUAGGGCACACAAUAUGCAUUCAGCCCUGAGUUCCCCUUACUUCCAACAUUCCUUUUUUUUUCUUUUUUUUGCCUCCACAUUUUCUUUUCAGCACAGUUCACAGUUGGAUGUAGACAAAAUCAGGUGUUAUCCCUAUGACGCAGAUAAACCGGAGCAGGAAAGACACCCUUCCUCGUCUCGUCUUUUGGAGUGCGAAAAAUAGUCGCUGGCGAGGCAACCCAGUGGUCAGGAGCUUCAAAUGGGUUUGGACAGAUGUCUGGAGGCUGCACAGCCCCAUGACCUUCCCCACUAAUCCCAAGUAUUUCCUUCUCUUUAUGUCUUCCUACAGGCUACCUCUUCUCUCCUCUGGUUCUCCCAUUUCCUCUCCGUCUCUGAUGCACCCUCUAUCACCAGGAGUCAGCAGCAGGGUCGGAUUCCGCUCCUGCAGAUGGAGGGACACCUCUUCCCACUGCUGGCCCUCAGCCAGCUGCUGCUGCUGGCAUUUUGGGGCUCAUCCUGAAAACGGUGUGCAUCCAGGCUCCAGCGGGCCAUUGAUCACUCACUGGCACUUCCAACUGAGUAGAGCCUUCCACGGCAGAAUAAAGUGACAAGAGCAGAGGAGGCAGAUUGUAGAAACCUGACCAGCCAUUGUAACAUGCACUGGAGGACAGCUUGAGUUUGCAUAUUAGCUUCUUUAUUUGUCCCUCUCUAACAGAUGAUACUUCUAUUGCAUAGUAAAUGAGCAACAUUAUUUGGC
rnacentral:lncRNA from 1 species